ensembl:rRNA 5S_rRNA 5S ribosomal RNA
GUCUAUGGCCAUACCACCCUGAACACACGAGAUGUCAUCUGAUCUCGGAAGCUAAGCAGGGUCGGACCUGGUUAGUAUUUGGAUGGGAGAUCGCCUGGGAAUACCAGGUGCUGUGUGCU